GGAUCUUAAAGGCGUAAGAAUUG
rnacentral:snRNA from 1 species